AGUGAACGCUGGCGGUAGGCCUAACACAUGCAAGUCGAACGGCAGCACAGUAAGAGCUUGCUCUUACGGGUGGCGAGUGGCGGACGGGUGAGGAAUACAUCGGAAUCUACUUUUUCGUGGGGGAUAACGUAGGGAAACUUACGCUAAUACCGCGUACGACCUACGGGUGAAAGCAGGGGAUCUUCGGACCUUGCGCGAUUGAAUGAGCCGAUGUCGGAUUAGCUAGUUGGCGGGGUAAAGGCCCACCAAGGCGACGAUCCGUAGCUGGUCUGAGAGGAUGAUCAGCCACACUGGAACUGAGACACGGUCCAGACUCCUACGGGAGGCGGCAGUGGGGAAUAUUGGACAAUGGGCGCAAGCCUGAUCCAGCCAUACCGCGUGGAUGAAGAAGGCCUUCGGGUUGUAAAGCCCUUUUGUUGGGAAAGAAAAGCAGCAGGUUAAUACCCCGCUGUUCUGACGGUACCCAAAGAAUAAGCACCGGCUAACUUCGUG
rnacentral:rRNA from 1 species